AUUGAACGCUGGCGGCAGGCCUAACACAUGCAAGUCGAACGGUAACAGAAAGCAGCUUGCUGCUUUGCUGACGAGUGGCGGACGGGUGAGUAAUGUCUGGGAAACUGCCUGAUGGAGGGGGAUAACUACUGGAAACGGUAGCUAAUACCGCAUAACGUCGCAAGACCAAAGAGGGGGACCUUCGGGCCUCUUGCCAUCGGAUGUGCCCAGAUGGGAUUAGCUAGUAGGUGGGGUAACGGCUCACCUAGGCGACGAUCCCUAGCUGGUCUGAGAGGAUGACCAGCCACACUGGAACUGAGACACGGUCCAGACUCCUACGGGAGGCAGCAGCGGGGAAUAUUGCACAAUGGGCGCAAGCCUGAUGCAGCCAUGCCGCGUGUAUGAAGAAGGCCUUCGGGUUGUAAAGUACUUUCAGCGGGGAGGAAGGGAGUAAAGUUAAUACCUUUGCUCAUUGACGUUACCCGCAGAAGAAGCACCGGCUAACUCCGUG
rnacentral:rRNA from 1 species